GAUGAAUGCUGGCGGCGUGCCUAACACAUGCAAGUCGAGCGGCAGCGCGGGGUGAUUGCUCCCUGUCGGCGAGCGGCGGACGGCUGAGUAAUGCGUAGGUAUUUGCCUCCAAGUGAGGAAUAACUGCCAGAAAGGGUAGUACAUGACGCCUACUGUCUUCGGAUUAAAGGAUUCAUCCGCUAUGGGAGCAGCAGGCGUUGGAUUAGGUGGUUGGUAGGGUAAUGGCCUACCAAGCCGACGAUCCAUAGCUGGUCUGUGAGGCUGAUCAGAUAGACUGGAACUGAGACACGGUCCAGACUCCUACAGGAUGCAGCAGUGAGUAAUCUAGCACAAUGGGGGAAAUCCUGAUGGAGCAACGCCGGUUGAAGGAUGAAGGCCGGCGGGUUGUAAACGUCUUUUAUGAGUGAAGAAUAUGACGGUAACUCAUGAAUAAGCACCGGCUAACUACGUG
rnacentral:rRNA from 1 species